rnacentral:tRNA from 1 species
GGGGUGUAUUGCUCAGUGGUAGAGCAUUCGACUGCAGAUCGGGAGAUCUCUGGUUCAAAACCGUAUCCCCC